CAGAUCGAGGGGAACACUGGCUCAUCUUUUAAUUCCUCAUAUUGCCUCUUGUUCUAGUGUUCUACUCAUGUGAUUCACUUUUUGUCUUCUUUCUUUUCUAUACCAAACCCAGCGUUUUUGGUUCCCAGAUCAGCUUCUCAUUUCUUCCCCUUCUCUUCUCUCGACUUAUCUUCUUCUUUGGCUUCUCUUUAUUCUCCUUGUAUUAAUUAGGUCCUUUCUAUAGCAUCAUUCGUCUGCAUAAGUAGUUUGGGUUUGGUUUUGAUUUAGAUGGAGGUUAAAGAAGAGAUGGGUCUCUGAUAAAAUUGCAGAGCAUCCAAAACCAAAGAAACAGUCACUACUAGAAAUUUCCCCAAUAACACCUUUUGAUAGACACUAAAAAUAAUCCGUGGCUUUCUCAAACUACUUCACACCAAUCUUUGACAUCAGUGACAUAAUUUUUGAUUCCACCGUACAUCAGUGCCUAAUGGGUAAAUAGAGUACUGAAACAGUGCCAGAGUCAUUAUAAUAAUAAUAUAAUUGGGCUCCAGGGUUCCUAUGUUUGGGCUGAGCUCUUGAGAAAAGUUAUGGUGCGGUGCUGAGACAGCAAACCUCUCCUCUUUGGUAUAUAUUCACUUGGUUCGACUAAAAACCCUACCCUGCUCUCUGCUUCUCUCUCUUUCCGUCCGUCUCUCUCUCUCGUUGUCUCUCUCCGUCCUCUUCUCUUUCAAAAGCCAUGUUAUUUUUGGGCCUAAACCAACCUCGAGGCUUUGGUGAUUCAAGGUUGGCUUAGGGAGUGGGAGAUCUGUUGUAGCGUUUUCUGACGACGACGUAGAUUUGGAUCUACGAGGCAUCGAAGGCGUUCGAUGGAGCAGGGGAGUUGGCCUGAGCCUAGAGCUUGGGGUGCUCGAGGGAUUUGUCUAACAACUAUUUAUCAACAAGUCUUCCUCCAUGUCUUAAAGCCCUUUUCUUUACACUUCUCCUCUCUCACUCUACUGCCGAGCCGGAUUUCUUUCAUUCGAUCUCUUUUCUCUACUGCGGAUCUGCCAAAUUUAUCGAGGAACUAGCCGCAAUGGUGAAGAAGGAGUUUCAGAGGUAUUAACUUUGAGCCUUUUUAUUUCAUUUUUUCAUCUGAAUAUUUAGGGUAAAGUAAUUGCAGAGGUACUUACUUUCCCCAUUUUCGUUUUAUAGCUUUUAGUUUCGAAAUUGGAAGGCUCAGAUCUACAAAAGGCCCUAACUUCCAGGGCUCGAUAUCGCCAGACGCGCGACGCGUCAUUGUCCCCUUUACUUUUAGGGCCUUAAAGUGAAUGAUUAAGGACCAUCUAUACAUCAGUAGCUCUCUAACAUACCGGAUCUAUCAAUUUAUGACUGUUCUGGGUUUUGUGUGGUGGGAUUUUGUUAAUUUUCGGGCUGGGGUGCAUUAUAAUGUUGUGUUGGAGAAGAUUGAGGUUGGAAGUGAUGUUAUAGAACUUCCUACUAGUGGUGGUGGUGUUAGUGAUAACAUAUCCGGCAGCAAUUCAUACCAAAAUAUGGCAUUUUUUUAAUAGUGGUACAACAUUUGCUUAUUUACCACCAGAGUUGCAGGAACCAAUAGUGAAGAAGGUAUCUGCUAAUUUCAUUUAGAUUUAAUUUGACUUGGUAUAGAUAUGUUCAUAUGUUCAAUUAACUCUUACAUCAGAUAUUGGCUUAGGAGCCUGGAUUGAAAUUGUAUACUGACGAGUUAACAUGUUUUGAGUAUUCCAAAAACUAAAACACUUUUCUAACAUGCAGCAUUACUUAUUUGAAUGUCUUAUUACCCUGGAAAUUAAAUGCUACUGAUACAAAAUUGAUAUAUUAUUGUGCUUUUGUGUGAGGACCUUAUUGAUCUUGUUAAUUAAUUAACUAUAUUUUGCAGGGGUUGAUGUUAACUAUGAAGAGAUAAUUGAAGCAACUUCAAUUGGCUUUAGUUCAGUGAUUUCCAAAUUUGUUCGAAUGUUGGAUUUGGAGAAGGGAAUGAUGGACUACCUAUAUGCAAAGUGCACUCCUUGUAUCAUAGAUUGUGUAAUGGCAGAGCUUGAGAAGUUGGGUCAGAAAUAUCGUGUGGCUCUGAGUUGCAAGUAAUAAUGAAAUCUGAAGAUAUGUGUUUGGAGUCCGCUAAGUUCUUCCCUGUGUUUGAUAAGGUCAAGAAGCUGCAAAAGGGACUGUCUAAGGAACCCUGUGAAUCACUGACGAAGCUUACAAGAGUAUCACUUCUAGUAGUGUAUAUCUCAUGGAUGUAUUUUUAACUUGUAAAUUUAUUGUAUAAUACAGUACAAGAUCAUAUAUGCACCAAUUAUUUGGUGCAUUUUUUUUUAAUAUAGCCUACCAAUUUUGCCAC